GAUGAAGAACGUAGCGAAAUGCGAUAAGUAAUGUGAAUUGCAGAAUUCAGUGAAUCAUCGAAUCUUUGAACGCACCUUGCGCCCUUUGGCCAUUCCGAAGGGCAUGCCUGUUUGAGUAUCAUGAACACCUCAACUCUUCAUGGUUUUCCAUGAUGAGCUUGGACUUUGGGGGUCUUGCUGGCCUGUGGGUCGGCUCCUCUCAAAUGAAUCAGCUUGCCGGUUUUUGGUGGGCAUCACAGGUGUGAUAACUAUCUACGCUUGUGGUUUUCCACCAGGGUAACCUUCAGCAGUGGAGGUUCACUGGAGCUUACAAAUGUCUCUCCUCUGUGAGGACAGCCCUUUGAAUGUUUGAUCUCAAAUAAGGUAGGACUACCCGCUGAACUUAAGCAUAUCAAUAAGCGGAGGA
rnacentral:misc_RNA from 1 species